rnacentral:rRNA from 1 species
AGAGUUUGAUCCUGGCUCAGGAUGAACGCUGGCGGCGUGCUUAACACAUGCAAGUCGAACGAUGACUUUUGUGCUUGCACAAAAUGAUUAGUGGCGAACGGGUGAGUAACACGUGAGUAACCUGCCCUUAACUUCGGGAUAAGCCUGGGAAACCGGGUCUAAUACCGGAUACGACGGAUCCCCGCAUGGGGGUCCGUGGAAAGCUUGAUGCGGUUUUGGAUGGACUCGCGGCCUAUCAGCUAGUUGGUUGGGGUAAUGGCCCACCACGGCGACGACGGGUAGCCGGCCUGAGAGGGUGACCGGCCACACUGGGACUGAGACACGGCCCAGACUCCUACGGGAGGCAGCAGUGGGGAAUAUUGCACAAUGGGCGAAAGCCUGAUGCAGCGACGCCGCGUGAGGGACGAAGGCCUUCGGGUUGUAAACCUCUUUCAGCAGGGAAGAAGCGAAAGUGACGGUACCUGCAGAAGAAGCGCCGGCUAACUACGUGCCAGCAGCCGCGGUAAUACGUAGGGCGCAAGCGUUAUCCGGAAUUAUUGGGCGUAAAGAGCUCGUAGGCGGUUUGUCGCGUCUGCUGUGAAAGCCCGGGGCUCAACCCCGGGUCUGCAGUGGGUACGGGCAGACUAGAGUGCAGUAGGGGAGACUGGAAUUCCUGGUGUAGCGGUGAAAUGCGCAGAUAUCAGGAGGAACACCGAUGGCGAAGGCAGGUCUCUGGGCUGUAACUGACGCUGAGGAGCGAAAGCAUGGGGAGCGAACAGGAUUAGAUACCCUGGUAGUCCAUGCCGUAAACGUUGGGCACUAGGUGUGGGACCCAUUCCACGGGUUCCGUGCCGCAGCUAACGCAUUAAGUGCCCCGCCUGGGGAGUACGGCCGCAAGGCUAAAACUCAAAGGAAUUGACGGGGGCCCGCACAAGCGGCGGAGCAUGCGGAUUAAUUCGAUGCAACGCGAAGAACCUUACCAAGGCUUGACAUACACCGGAAAAGUGCAGAGAUGUGCUCCCCGUAAGGUCGGUGUACAGGUGGUGCAUGGUUGUCGUCAGCUCGUGUCGUGAGAUGUUGGGUUAAGUCCCGCAACGAGCGCAACCCUUGUCCUGUGUUGCCAGCGGGUUAUGCCGGGGACUCAUAGGAGACUGCCGGGGUCAACUCGGAGGAAGGUGGGGAUGACGUCAAAUCAUCAUGCCCCUUAUGUCUUGGGCUUCACGCAUGCUACAAUGGCCGGUACAAAGGGCUGCGAUACCGCGAGGUGGAGCGAAUCCCAAAAAGCCGGUCUCAGUUCGGAUUGGGGUCUGCAACUCGACCCCAUGAAGUCGGAGUCGCUAGUAAUCGCAGAUCAGCAACGCUGCGGUGAAUACGUUCUCGGGCCUUGCACACAC